rfam:Microgenomates (Woesebacteria) bacterium GW2011_GWB1_45_5 TX13_C0022, whole genome shotgun sequence.
GGCCCUGUAGCUCAACGGAUAGAGCAAGUUCCUUCUAAGAACGAGAUGGAAGUUCGAUUCUUCCCAGGGUCA